CAGCGUGUAGCUCAGUGGCAGAGCACUGGUUUUGGGAGCCAGGGGUCGAGAUUUCAAAAUUCUCCAUGCUGACCA
rnacentral:tRNA from 1 species